CCGUACUCAAGCAGAUUACUUCCAGUCCUAAAGGAAAAGAGUGUAGGAGCUUUCCCAUGAAGAAGCUGACCUUAUCCAUUUGAGCUGGCCAUGUGCAUGGCGGAAUAAUUGUGUGGGAUGCAGAACUCUACUCUUCAAACCUGUGGAGAUGAAGCCCAUCAGAAAACUGUCUUAGGUUUGGCCAGGAUUUCAAGGCAUCUGUCUGAAUCUGCAUGAUCUAAAGGUGUGGAGCGCAGGACUGGAGUGGGAAGGAGAGAAUGGAGAACAGUCAGGAGAAGAGGUGAUGCCCAGGGAGCAGUCUGGGCAACUC